UUAAAUAGAGAUGUUGUUAUGCUUACUGUGAAAACUGAUUGCUAAUGAUGUUGUUCCAAAGGAAUAUCUUGCUUCUGAGAUCAUUUCUCACUAUGUAAUGCAUGGGGCAAGUGUUGCUGAGAUUGUAAAGAAUCUGAUAACAGUUCUGAA